AGCAAUACCGCUGACGACCGGCGCACGGGUGAGUAACACGUAUCCAACCUACCCCUUUCACGGGGAUAGCCUUUCGAAAGAAAGAUUAAUACCCGAUAGUAUAGCGAUAAGGCAUCUUAUUGCUAUUAAAGAAUUUCGGUGUUUGAUGGGGAUGCGUUCCAUUAGAUUGUUGGUGAGGUAACGGCUCACCAAGUCUUCGAUGGAUAGGGGUUCUGAGAGGAAGGUCCCCCACAUUGGAACUGAGACACGGUCCAAACUCCUACGGGAGGCAGCAGUGAGGAAUAUUGGUCAAUGGACGAGAGUCUGAACCAGCCAAGUAGCGUGAAGGAUGAAGGCCCUAUGGGUCGUAAACUUCUUUUAUAGGGGAAUAAAGUGCGGAACGUGUUCCGUUUUGUAUGUACCCUACGAAUAAGGAUCGGCUAACUCCGUGCCAGCAGCCGCGGUAAUACGGAGGAUCCGAGCGUUAUCCGGAUUUAUUGGGUUUAAAGGGAGCGUAGGUGGACGUAUAAGUCAGUUGUGAAAGUUUGCGGCUCAACCGUAAAAUUGCAGUUGAUACUGUAUGUCUUGAGUGUACAAGAGGUGGGCGGAAUUCGUGGUGUAGCGGUGAAAUGCUUAGAUAUCACGAAGAACUCCGAUUG
rnacentral:rRNA from 1 species